AUCCAGCUGAUGAGUCCUGAAUAGGACGAAACGCGCGUCUUGAAU
rnacentral:hammerhead_ribozyme from 1 species